CGUCAUCUUCUCCUACAAUGCCUAUUGCCAGGUUACCACCCCCAGUCGAAUCUGUAUGUUGCUUGGUUACGGUGGGAAAGUCAGCAAAGAAGACCAUUUCUUUGAUUUAAUGAAAUUUUAGGAAUUUCACUAGCAAUAUUUGUCUUGUUCUAUUAAGACGCGUUUGCUUGGACUUUAUAUAUGGACUGGCCACAUCUAAGAAUUGGCCAAAAAAAAGUAAAUUGAAGUUAAGGUGCAAGUGAGUUCUUCCCUAACUUGCUCCUUCCACUCCAGGUCGGGAGAAUACCCGUCGUCUGUAUACUAUGCCUGCACAUCGGUCUCUUUGUGCAACAGCAAGAGCAACUGGGCUCUCUCUUCUCCGAAAAUACAAAGUGAGAGUGGGAGUGACAGAGUCCGCCGCCUUCUCAAACCUACAUCGACGCGCAUCAGCCAAUGCUGGUGCGUGAUUUCAUACAUGCGGCGCUAUAUCACCCUUGCAAUGGUUACUUCUCCAAAACCACAACAUCAGAUCCUGUUGGAGUCUUGGAGGCUACUAUCAAGUUUAAUUAGCUUCAAGGCAGGAAAGCUUAUUUGCAACAUCUAAACAAGAUUUACAAGCAAAGUCACACAUCAUGGUUUACUCCCGUCGAGCUUUUCAAGGCAAUCUAUCUUAUAUACACCUUGUGUUUGUACUUGUGCCUUGUUUGAUAUUUCCCUCUAAAAUGUCUUCACAUAAUGUACUCAGUCAAAGACUGCACUAGUUGCAUCAACUACUAUAUCUUCAAUUAAGAAGGAAAAUUUUUUGAGUGUAAUAUAUAUGGCUCUUGAGCGUUCAAUCUUAUAAAUGGAUUGUACUCUGAGCAACUAUAUUAAUCUAAUAUGCUUACUUAUGGACACAUACUUCUAAGCUCUAAUCGCUCAACUUUCUCUACAGGGCAUGCUGUAUGGCUUUGCACUUGAGACCUAGUUCGUCAAUGUUUUGCUUUGCACUUUAUUUCAUAAUAUUUUUGAAGGUUUGCUGCACCUGAAUCACCGUUUGUUGAUGCUCUAUUUCACAUGGUAUUUCAUCUCUUGCAGCCUUGGUAUGCUCAUGGCAUAGCUGAAGCCAUUUUGCGUACUGCUAAUUUUUCAGUUCCUCUGAAAAUCUAUGAGAUAGGUGGCGGAUCUGGAACUUGUGCAAAGGGUAUAAUGGAUUAUGUAAUGUUGAAUGCACCACCUCAAUUUUACAACAACAUGACUUACAUGUAGGUACAUGGUUGUGGGUAGCUUUACCUUUGUUAGCAUGUAUGUAAAUUGUGGAUGAUCCCUUCCUUUAUUUUAUUUUAUUUAUGUUCUGUUGGUACUUGCUUUAUAUUUUUCUUUCUGUCUCAUCAGUUCUUCAAUAUUUUGUUGUUGUGUACUUUAUCUUUUAUUUUGUAUUUUAAUAUUAACCUAUAUAGCAAGAAAAGAGAAAAAUGGCAUUCUAAAAACAAGGAAACUGGAUAGAGUUAAUUAACAGGGGCGGAUCUAUUAAGUAACAAGGGGUAGCACAUGCUACCCCUAAAAAAAAAUUUUGAAAAAAAUAGGCUGGAAGAAAACAAAAGAAACUAAUAUAUACUAAAUCGCUAGUAAUGUAUCACUGAUGAAUUUGCUUGGCGCAGUGGUAGCAUCACUAUUCUGAGACACGGAGGUCUCAAGUUCAAAUACUUGUGGUAACAUUUUGUUGUUUAACUACCUACUUUAGUUCAUUCUCUUUUUUCUUUUUGUUUUUUCCUUUUUCUUUUAUUUUCUUUAUGCCUUAAUCUUUUCAAUCUUCCACACUUACACUUGUCAAUGUAAAAAAAUAUAAUACUUCAUAU